rnacentral:rRNA from 1 species
GAUGAACGCUAGCGGCAGGCCUAAUACAUGCAAGUCGAACGGUGUCUUCGGACAUAGUGGCGCACGGGUGCGUAACACGUAUGCAACCUACCUUACAUUGGGGGAUAGCCUUUCGAAAGGGAGAUUAAUACCGCAUAAGACAGUAGCUGGGCAUCCAGCAGCUGUUAAAGAUUUAUCGAUGUAAGCUGGGCAUGCGUCCAAUUAGCUAGUUGGUGAGGUAACGGCUCACCAAGGCAAUGAUUGGUAGGGGAACUGAGAGGUCAAUCCCCCACACUGGCACUGAGAGACGGGCCAGACUCCUACGGGAGGCAGCAGUAGGGAAUAUUGGGCAAUGGACGCAAGUCUGACCCAGCCAUGCCGCGUGCAGGAUGAAGGCGUUAUGCGUUGUAACUGCUUUUAUACAGGAAGAAACGACUCUUGCGAGAGGCAUUGACGGUACUGUAUGAAUAAGCACCGGCUAACUCCGUGCCAGCCGCCGCUGUAAGAC